CUGGCGGCACGCCUAACACAUGCAAGUCGAACGCAGUAGCAAUACUGAGUGGCAGACGGGUGAGUAACAUGUGGGAAUCUGCCUUGUGGUUCAGGACAACAUUGGGAAACCGAUGCUAAUACUGGAUAAGCCCUUACGGGGAAAGUUUUAAUGCCAUAAGAUGAGCCCGCAUUUGAUUAGUUAGUUGGUGAGGUAAUGGCUCACCAAGACAAUGAUCAAUAGCUGAUCUGAGAGGAUGAUCAGCCACACUGGGACUGAGACACGGCCCAGACUCCUACGGGAGGCAGCAGUGGGGAAUCUUGCACAAUGGAGGAAACUCUGAUGCAGCGAUGCCGCGUGAGUGAAGAAGGCCUUUGGGUUGUAAAGCUCUUUUGUAGGGGAAGAUAAUGACUGUACCCUAAGAAUAAGGUCCGGCUAACUUCGUGCCAGCAGCCGCGGUAAUACGAAGGGACCUAGCGUAGUUCGGAAUUACCGGGCGUAAAGCGCGCGUAGGCCGUUGAGUUAGUUAAUUGUGAAAUCCCCAAAGCUUAACUUUGGAACUGCAAUUAAAACUGCUCNACUAGAGUUUGAUAGAGGAAANCNGAAUACAU
rnacentral:rRNA from 1 species